rnacentral:tRNA from 2 species
UGGGGUAUCGCCAAGUUGGUAAGGCACUGGAUUCUGAUUCCAGCAUGCGUAGGUUCGAGUCCUACUACCCCAGCCA